rnacentral:rRNA from 1 species
GAUGAACGCUGGCGGCGUGCAUAACACAUUCAAGUCGAACGGACGAGAGGGCUUCGGUCCUCGAGUUAGUGGCGGACGGGUGAGUAACGCGUGAGCAAUCUGCCCCUGUGUGUGGGAUAACGUUUGGAAACGGACGCUAAUACCGCAUAACGCAUGGAUAUCGCAUGGUAACCAUGCCAAAGAUUUAUUGCACAGGGAUGAGCUCGCGUCUGAUUAGGUAGUUGGUGAGGUAACGGCCCACCAAGCCGACGAUCAGUAGCCGGACUGAGAGGUUGAACGGCCACAUUGGAACUGAGAACGGUCCAG